GUGUCAGCCGCCGCGGUAAUACGUAGGGUCCGAGCGUUGUCCGGAUUCAUUGGGCGUAAAGAGCUCGUAGGCGGCUCAGUAAGUCGGAUGUGAAAACUCAGGGCUCAACCCGGAGACGCCAUCCGAUACUGCUGUGGCUUGAGUCUGGUAGGGGAACACGGAAUACCUGGUGUAGCGGUGAAAUGCGCAGAUAUCAGGUGGAACACCGAUGGCGAAGGCAGUGUUCUGGGCCAGUACUGACGCUGAGGAGCGAAAGCGUGGGGAGCAAACAGGAUUAGAUACCCUCGUAGUCC
rnacentral:rRNA from 1 species